rnacentral:misc_RNA from 1 species
AGCACUUUAGUCCCCGGCCCUGCAACCCUCACAGCGUCCUGCAGAACUUCUUUUUUGUUUUUUCCCCAAGAAUCGGAAUCUCUCAUGCAAAGGCAAUUGAAUUCAAAAGUAUCUCUUACGUUUCUAGACAAGGGACGAAAAAGGAUUCAUGGACUUUGCCAUAAAGAAGGAGAUCAUCGAGAUCUUGCCUACCCCCGAACCGAAUCGAGGGAACGACAGCGUUUCUAAGGGGCCUCCAGUGUUGAUCGAACUCAGCAGCAGCAGCAGCAGUAGCAGUAGCAGUGAUUCCGACUCUGACUCGGAUGACGGGAACAAUGCCAACGCUGCAGUUUCCCCGGGAACUAGGCUUUCUUCAACCGGCAACGGAAUUUCCAAGAAGAAGAGGAAGCUUGAUGAGUUGGGAGUCGUGUUGCCAGUGGGGUUUCUAGCUCCCCUUUCUCCGGUUGCGGUGGCCUUGGCGCCAUCGCAUUCCGCGGUGAUUUCGAAUAUGGAUUUGACUCCGACCUCAACUCCGGCGGCGUUGGCGCCAUCGGGGAAUGGGGAUGUGAGUUUAACUGGUCACAGUUGUAAACAGUUUUGGAAAGCUGGAGACUAUGGGGGUGCGCCUUCCGGUGAUUGGGAUUUAUCUUCGGGUAUUCAGCUAUUCUUUGGGAUUAUUGUCUAUUUUUCUCAUUCGUUUAUUGGCUCUAUUUUUCUCAUUAAAUGGAGCGUCUUCUAGUUGCAUGUUUGAAGAAUUUC